GGGGCUGUAGCUCAAUUGGUAGAGCGCGACAUUCGCAUUGUCGAGGCAAGGGGUUCGAAUCCCCUCAGCUCCACCA
rnacentral:tRNA from 1 species